GCAAGUUUAUUGUAGCAAUUUGAAAAUUCUCUUUGCUUGAGUGUAAGAGUGAGCGCUUGAGCAGUCUUUUCAGGCGUUCAGUGCAUUGCUCUGCAGUCUAAGAUUUUGCUAGUAUGUAAUGGCACUCGAGUGCAAGUUUAUCCCCUUGAACGGUCUGUUCAUUUUGCUGUUGGAGAUAUUGGGAGUUUGUCAUAUUCACUUGAGCGCAGAUUUUACUGCUCGAGUGGUCUUCUAUCUCUCAUGCUCGAGCGCCCGUUUCGCCGCUUGAGCGAUCUAUUUGGGAUCAGCUGUUUGAAGUCACUUUUUUGGUCAAAUCUCUUUCACUCUUUAUACUCUUUUCUAUUUCUCUCUCUCUCUCUCUCCCCCCCUCUAUUUCCAUGCUUCAAGCUCUUAUACUUUGGAUUUCAUCUCUUUAGAGUGAAAAUCUCACCCUAAUUCCUUAUACUAGAACAUAGAGCACGACGAGAGUUUUAUUUUGAUUCGAGCAGAUCAUCUUUUCGUUGUGGUUAAAUUUUUGGAUUUUCUCCUCUUCUUUUCCAGAGGUAUGGAGUCGGUUACAUCGAGCAAGGAUCAAGAAGUUGAUUUUUAUUGAGGGUUAAUGUGUCGUAAAAAUGACGUCGUUUCUUCAUUGUAAUUAUUUAUUUUGUAACAUUCUAUGUAAGCCUAAGGGCACAGAUUGUAAUCUGUUGUAAUUGUGUACUUCAUCAUUUGUAUUAUAUGAGAGAGAAUAUUCCUUUUAUUCA